rnacentral:rRNA from 1 species
CCUACGGGUGGCAGCAGUGAGGAAUAUUGGUCAAUGGACGAGAGUCUGAACCAGCCAAGUAGCGUGAAGGAUGACUGCCCUAUGGGUUGUAAACUUCUUUUAUAUGGGAAUAAACUGUUCCACGUGUGGGAUUUUGUAUGUACCAUAUGAAUAAGGAUCGGCUAACUCCGUGCCAGCAGCCGCGGUAAUACGGAGGAUCCGAGCGUUAUCCGGAUUUAUUGGGUUUAAAGGGAGCGUAGGCGGAUUGUUAAGCCAGUUGUGAAAGUUGGCGGCUCAACCGUGGCAUUGCAGUUGAAACUGGCAGUCUUGAGUACAGUAGAGGUUGGCGGAAUUCGUGGUGUAGCGGUGAAAUGCUUAGAUAUCACGAAGAACUCCGAUUGCGAAGGCAGUUCACUGGACUGCAACUGACACUGAGGCUCGAAGGUGUGGGUAUCAAACAGGAUUAGAUACCCCGGUAGUC